rnacentral:rRNA from 1 species
GAGCGGAACGAGUUAUCUGAACCUUCGGGGAACGAUAACGGCGUCGAGCGGCGGACGGGUGAGUAAUGCCUAGGAAAUUGCCCUGAUGUGGGGGAUAACCAUUGGAAACGAUGGCUAAUACCGCAUAAUACCUUCGGGUCAAAGAGGGGGACCUUCGGGCCUCUCGCGUCAGGAUAUGCCUAGGUGGGAUUAGCUAGUUGGUGAGGUAAUGGCUCACCAAGGCGACGAUCCCUAGCUGGUCUGAGAGGAUGAUCAGCCACACUGGAACUGAGACACGGUCCAGACUCCUACGGGAGGCAGCAGUGGGGAAUAUUGCACAAUGGGCGCAAGCCUGAUGCAGCCAUGCCGCGUGUGUGAAGAAGGCCUUCGGGUUGUAAAGCACUUUCAGUCGUGAGGAAGGUAGUGUAGUUAAUAGCUGCAUUAUUUGACGUUAGCGACAGAAGAAGCACCGGCUAACUCCGUGCCAGCAGCCGCGGUAAUACGGAGGGUGCGAGCGUUAAUCGGAAUUACUGGGCGUAAAGCGCAUGCAGGUGGUUUGUUAAGUCAGAUGUGAAAGCCCGGGGCUCAACCUCGGAAUAGCAUUUGAAACUGGCAGACUAGAGUACUGUAGAGGGGGGUAGAAUUUCAGGUGUAGCGGUGAAAUGCGUAGAGAUCUGAAGGAAUACCGGUGGCGAAGGCGGCCCCCUGGACAGAUACUGACACUCAGAUGC